AAGGAGGUUCUAGGACCUUGGUUUCCAAAUAAAAUACAAAACUUGCGCUCAUCUAAGAAAAAAGACUUUUGACCACUGGACAACAGUCCAGUUCUUCUCCUUAACCCAGGUGUACACCUAGUCCCCAGGCUGAUGCCAGAGUUAAAAGCAAACAGGACGUCAGGUGUGCAGACAAACCGGAGGCAAGUGCUGCAUUUUAAACAGCCUGGCAGCCUCCUCACCUGCUGAUCUUCAAAGAGUUUGAUGAUGAAUGAGUCCUGCGAACAAAAUAUUCAAGGUGUGUGAGAGCAGCAUACCGAUCUAUACCACAGUUCUUUGAGAGGGACAUGAUAUUUACCAUUUGACUUUGAUCUGCAUAAUUGCGGAUGGUUUGUGUUUCUGUGGCACAUUUUAAAAUAGUGCUCCUUUUCUGAAAGGCAGUUUCUGAAGAACUCUACAGAAAAUGGGUUUACCUCAGGCUGGUAGAACUCCUGUGAAAUGCUAUUGCUGUGUUCCAUUCAAAAUCGAUUGGGGAUAUUCCUACUUGAUAUCUUCAACUUCCCACGAUAAGGCAUCUGAUUCUUAGAAGAUUACAUAUAAGGAAACACAAUGGAAUCACUGCUAUUACCACUGCAGGAGUGUGAUUGUCAAUGAAUAAGUUGUCUAGCAACUAAAUUAUGAAGGAUAAACAAUGCUACUCAUUGCAAACAUCUGUUCUGAAGGUGUAUAAAUAUCAACAUACGGUAGCUAGUGUUUACACACCUGUCUCUUUAAAUAUUAAUGGAUGAACUGAUAUUAAUGUUAUGAUGUACAGAAGCAGCGACAAAUCCUAUCUUCAGUAUUGUGACAAACAUCUGAGUGAAACUGACAAUAAAAAAUAACAAAAUUA